rnacentral:rRNA from 1 species
CCUACGGGAGGCAUCAGUGGGGAAUCUUGCGCAAUGGGCGAAAGCCUGACGCAGCCAUGCCGCGUGAAUGAUGAAGGUCUUAGGAUUGUAAAAUUCUUUCACCGGGGACGAUAAUGACGGUACCCGGAGAAGAAGCCCCGGCUAACUUCGUGCCAGCAGCCGCGGUAAUACGAAGGGGGCUAGCGUUGCUCGGAAUUACUGGGCGUAAAGGGAGCGUAGGCGGAUAGUUUAGUCAGAGGUGAAAGCCCAGGGCUCAACCUUGGAAUUGCCUUUGAUACUGGCUAUCUUGAGUACGGAAGAGGUAUGUGGAACUCCGAGUGUAGAGGUGAAAUUCGUAGAUAUUCGGAAGAACACCAGUGGCGAAGGCGACAUACUGGUCCGUUACUGACGCUGAGGCUCGAAAGCGUGGGGAGCAAACAGGAUUAGAUACCCUGGUAGUCCACGCUGUAAACGAUGAGUGCUAGUUGUCGGCAUGCAUGCAUGUCGGUGACGCAGCUAACGCAUUAAGCACUCCGCCUGGGGAUACGGUCGCAAGNUUAAAACUCAAAGGAAUUGACGGCNGAGAGNGCGAGACGACGACGAGGGAGAGG